rnacentral:rRNA from 1 species
UACGUAGGGUGCAAGCGUUAAUCGGAAUUACUGGGCGUAAAGCGUGCGCAGGCGGUCGGGUGUGUCAGAUGUGAAAUCCCGAGGCUCAACCUCGGAACUGCGUCUGAAACUACUCGACUAGAGUACUGGAGAGGGUAACGGAAUUCACGGUGUAGCAGUGAAAUGCGUAGAUAUCGUGAGGAACACCAGAGGCGAAGGCGGUUACCUGGACAGUUACUGACGCUCAGGCACGAAAGCAUGGGGAGCAAAAGGG